CAGUACCAUGUAAACAGUCAAGUUGUUUCUGCAACCAUACAGCAAAAUGGGAAGAACCAAAAUUUGCAAUUAGUUAUAGCCUGCACUCAUAGCUUAUUCACGUCAGAGAUACCAGAAUUUCAGAGCUAAGCCUCUUCUGAAGCUCUUCUCAGAGUCAUUCUAGAAGCCAAAAGGUUUGCAACUGCAGAAUUAUCUGGGAUCUUAUUAGAAAUGCAGACUACCAAGUAAACCUCAGACCUACAGAAUCAUAAUGUGCAUUUUUACAACAUCCUCAGUCAAUUCGGAUGUCCAUGAAAAUCUGAUAUGCUGCUGUACAUCACUUUGACUUUCCAUGCAGGAUGGAAUAGGAUCACCACAUCAAAGCCAAGUUAGUACAAAAGACUGAAGAUAUGAUUGAAAAAGAUCAGAGUUCAAGUUCCAGCUAUAAUAUUAAUGGAGGAUAUGUGCUUGUGUUAGUUAUUGA